rnacentral:rRNA from 1 species
CAACCUGCCUUUCAGAGGGGGAGUAACAUUUGGAAACAAAUGCUAAUACCGCAUAAGAUUACAGUACCGCAUGAUACAGUGAUCAAAGGAGCAAUCCGCUGAAAGAUGGGCUCGCGUCCGAUUAGAUAGUCGGUGAGGUAACGGCUCACCAAGUCGACGAUCGGUAGCCGGACUGAGAGGUUGAACGGCCACAUUGGGACUGAGACACGGCCCAG